UACGUAGGGUGCAAGCGUUAAUCGGAAUUACUGGGCGUAAAGCGUGCGCAGGCGGUUAUAUAAGACAGAUGUGAAAUCCCCGGGCUCAACCUGGGAACUGCAUUUGUGACUGUAUAGCUAGAGUACGGCAGAGGGGGAUGGAAUUCAGCGUGUAGCAGUGAAAUGCGUAGAUAUGCGGAGGAACACCGAUGGCGAAGGCAAUCCCCUGGGCCUGUACUGACGCUAAUGCACGAAAGCGUGGGGAGCAAAC
rnacentral:rRNA from 2 species